UGAUUGAUGUCGGCCACAGUCGCAUUUCUGGAAGCGAAAGAAAGAGGGUUUCCGUAGCUUGCAAGAUGUUUUCGGAACGGCGAGUGCUACUACUGGACGAGCCAACGACUGGGCUAGACUCAAGUGUGGCCUAUUUCUUGAUUCUCACUCUACGAUCUCUGUGUGACAUUGGGUACAAUAUCAUUUGCACAAUCCACCAGCCCUCAUCUCAGGUCUUCAACAUCUUUGAUACUUUAUUCCUACUCGCAGAAGGCCGGUGCGCUUAUUUUGGCGCUAGAACUGAGGCUGUCGGCUACUUCUCGUAUAUCGGUUAUGCUUGCCCUGAUACCUUUUCGCCAGCGGACUUCUUUAUCGACGUCCUAGCCAUUAAGCCUGGUAAAGAGGAAGCUUUACUGGCCCGCCUCAGUGUAAGAACAAAAAACAUUUAAUUCGGUCAAAAAAAUCAUAAUACAGAGACGGUAUAAUGACAUAGGCUGUUUUUAGUCCGGUUAAAUCCAUAAGGCAUGAGCCUUUAUCAGUUUAUUUUAUCUAGAGAAAAAUAGGAAAGAUCCUUGAUGUAUUGGGUAU